CGUGCUUAACACAUGCAAGUCGAACGAUGAAGCCCAGCUUGCUGGGUGGAUUAGUGGCGAACGGGUGAGUAACACGUGAGCAACCUGCCCCUGACUCUGGGAUAAGCGCUGGAAACGGCGUCUAAUACUGGAUAUGUCCCGUCACCGCAUGGUGUGCGGGUGGAAAGAUUUUUCGGUUGGGGAUGGGCUCGCGGCCUAUCAGCUUGUUGGUGAGGUAAUGGCUCACCAAGGCGUCGACGGGUAGCCGGCCUGAGAG
rnacentral:rRNA from 1 species